GUGGUAAUAGCUCAGGGGUAGAGAGCAUGCUUAGCAUGCACGAGGUCCUGGGUUCAAUCCCCAGUACCUCCA
rnacentral:tRNA from 1 species